rnacentral:misc_RNA from 1 species
GUCCUCGCCCUCACUCGUUAUUCCCAGGACACGGUGACGCGAUUGAGUCUUUGUACUUUGUUGCAGUGGAAUUUCUGGUGUUCUGUGAGGUAGAAUGAGUGUUUGAUCGCUUUAUACAGGUGGACGGAGUAGUCUUUUGGAUACCGUCGUGUACGUAAAGGAGAGAGGAGCGACGUGUGGCAGACGCUGCUUCCAGACGUGAAGGA